UACGUAGGGCGCGAGCGUUGUCCGGAUUUAUUGGGCGUAAAGAGCUCGUAGGCGGCUUGUCGCGUCAACUGUGAAAACCCGUGGCUCAACCAUGUGGUCUGCAGUCGAUACGGGCAGGCUAGAAUUCGGUAGGGGAGACUGGAAUUCCUGGUGUAGCGGUGAAAUGCGCAGAUAUCAGGAGGAACACCGGCGGCGAAGGCGGUGCUCUGGGCCAGUAUUGACGCUGAGGAGCGAAAGCGUGGGUAGCAAACAGG
rnacentral:rRNA from 1 species